rnacentral:tRNA from 1 species
GGGGUGUGUGAUUCAGUGGCUGAGUAUCUGCCUAGCAUGUAGAAGGUCGCAGGUUCAAUUACCGGCAUCUCCA